AUUGAACGCUGGCGGCAUGCCUUACACAUGCAAGUCGAACGGCAGCACGGGAGCAAUCCUGGUGGCGAGUGGCGAACGGGUGAGUAAUAUAUCGGAACGUGCCCGGUCGUGGGGGAUAACGUAGCGAAAGCUACGCUAAUACCGCAUACGAUCUAUGGAUGAAAGCGGGGGAUCGCAAGACCUCGCGCGAUUAGAGCGGCCGAUAUCAGAUUAGGUAGUUGGUGAGGUAAAGGCUCACCAAGCCGACGAUCUGUAGCUGGUCUGAGAGGACGACCAGCCACACUGGGACUGAGACACGGCCCAGACUCCUACGGGAGGCAGCAGUGGGGAAUUUGGACAAUGGGCGCAAGCCUGAUCCAGCAAUGCCGCGUGCAGGAUGAAGGCCUUCGGGUUGUAAACUGCUUUUGUACGGAACGAAACGGUGAGCUCUAAUACAGUUUGCUAAUGACGGUACCGUAAGAAUAAGCACCGGCUAACUACGUG
rnacentral:rRNA from 1 species